CCAGAGAUCUCUCUCUCUCUUUCCAUGUACACAGAGAAAAGGCCAUGUGUGGACACAGCAAGAAGGUGGCCAUCUAAAGUCAUGAAGAGAGGCCUCACCAGAAACCAGCCCUGAUGGCAACUGGAUUUUGAACUUCUAGUCUCCAGAAUUGUGAGAAGUGAAUUCUUGUUGAGAAGCCACCCAGUAUGUGAUAUUUUGUUAUGGCAGCCUAAGACAGUACCAGAGCCACUGGAAAAGACAGGCUGAAAUAACGAAGGCAGGAUUAUUGUGUAAGCCUGAGCUGUCAGAGCUCAUGAGAGGGCCUGCCUGAAAAGCCAACACAGAGCAGAGUGAAGCCAGGAGAUGGAGGUCCUGACUGUGCCUGAGGAGCACCUGGAUCCAGCCAUGCCUGAAGUGGGUGUAUACCUCUGCAUAUCACAGUUACUCAAGCCAAUGAAUUAUUUUGUUUUGCUUUUUAUUAGUUUGUUUGUUUGUUUUUGAGACAAGGUCUCACUCUGUUGCCCAGGCUGGAGUGUAGUGGCACGAUUAUGGCUCACUGUAACAUUGAACUCUUGGGCUCAAGUGAUCUUCCCCCCGCUCAGCUUCUUAAGUUGCUUGGACUACACAUCUGGCCAAUUUUUUCAUUUUUUGUAGAGAUGGGGGUCUCACUAUGCUGCCCAGGCUGGUCACAAAAUCCUGGCCUCAAAUGAUCCUCCUGCCUCGGCCUUCCAAAAUAUUGGGAUUAUAGGCAUGAGCCACCGUGCCAAGCCUAUUUUGUUUUUUGUUUUGUUUUGUUUUUAAAGACAGGGUCUUGCUAUGUUGCCCAGGCUGGCCUGGAACUUCAGGGCUCAAGAAAUCUUCCUACCCCAGUCUCCUGAGUAGCUGGGACUACAGGCAUGCACCACUGCUCCCAGCUUGAAUGAACUCUUCUUUUUGCUUGAUUUUAGUUUGUCUCAUCAAAAGCACUGUGACUAAUACAGAGUCAACUCUAAUUUUAUUACUUUUUUCAUUAUAUCUGAUCAGAUAUAACAUCAUAAACACACUGGUGAAGAAGAGUUAUAGUCAGAGUACCACUCGAAUUGAAGCUUUAAACUGUCAAUAAGCCACCUGCAAUCCCUCGGUGUAGAGAAAAGGAGAACUUGGACAUCUUGAUUUCUCACCAGGUAUUCAGAGGUCACCUACCUGGUUGGUUCCCUCUUAGAGUGUGACAUCUUUAAAGUGGGCUAUGAAGCCCUUUGCCUAAGACCUUGCUUUCCCAAGGGGCAGCUAUUCACAUCUAGCAGACAACACACUAGUGUAGACAUCUCAGUGCACUUGGCAAGCCUCUGAAGCCUCUUCUUGUAAGUCAGGCCAGCAAUGGCCCUUGCACUGGCAAGCAUCUUGCUCAAGCUCUUAAGUGAUCAUAAUAAAGUGAUUAACACAGAGUGCCCAGCACAGUGAUUACUUCUGAUUAGAGGUGGGUGGUGCAUUAGUCAACACCAGGCAGAAAAGCCCAGCAAUGUUUCUGAGCAGACUCAGGAAGAGAUAGUUGUUCUCAAACUUGAGUAUGCAUCAGAAUCACAGAAUGAUGGUGAAGGGGGGUGGGGAGUGAGGGUGGGGUUGGGAAGACUUGUUAAGACACACACUGCUGAGCCCUACCCCUAGAGUUUCUGAUUCAGCAGGUCAGAGUGGGCCCCUAGAAUCUGCAUUUCUCACAAGUUCGCAGGUACUGCUGGUUGGGGGGCUAUACACUGAAAAUCACUGUUAGAAGACUGCUGAAUUGGACAAAGGCCCCUCAAAGGAGAAAUGAUCCAGCACUUGGUUUUUCUGCUUCCCUGAAACCCUCAUCUCAACAAAGAUGCCCUGUUAUCUCCACUGUGGGUCCUGAAGCCUUAGACAAGUACAGAAGUGAAAUGUACAUCUACAUAAAAAAAUGAUACACAGUACUAACUUCAUGCCUGUGGGUAUAGAGCCAGAAAUGUCACAGCACACCUGCAUAUCUAUCACAUUGUCACAGCAGCCCCUAGAUGCAAUUAUUCCUGAAUUACAGAGAAACAAAUGGAGGUACCAGGCAGCUGUGACUGUUGUCUACAGAGAAGACACACGUGGAAGGCAAUUUUUCUUGGUCAUGAAAAUUGUCAAAUGUACAUAAAGGUG
rnacentral:lncRNA from 1 species